GGAGCUGUAAUCCUUUGAACAAUGUUACCAUGGAAACCAUAAGAGCAUCUGUCAAAUGUAAAUAUUAUGACAAAGACAAUCUGAAGAGGCGGCUCAAAGAAAUUGACUGAAAUGGAGAAACUUUGCCAGGAAGAGAAGGCAUCACUGGAAGAGAACCAAACCUGCACAAACCCAGGAGAACAUGAUGAUGAAGCCUCAGUUGGUCCCAGUGAUGGACAGCAGGUUCAGCCCA